UAUAGGUUGACCUCGGAUCAGGUAGGAAUACCCGCUGAACUUAAGCAUAUCAAUAAGCGGAGGAAAAGAAACCAACAGGGAUUGCCCUAGUAACGGCGAGUGAAGCGGCAACAGCUCAAAUUUGAAAUCUGGCCCUCGGGUCCGAGUUGUAAUUUGCAGAGGAUGCUUUUGGCGCGGUGCCUUCCGAGUUCCCUGGAACGGGACGCCUUAGAGGGUGAGAGCCCCGUACGGUUGGACACCAAGCCUCUGUAAAGCUCCUUCGACGAGUCGAGUAGUUUGGGAAUGCUGCUCUAAAUGGGAGGUAAAUUUCUUCUAAAGCUAAAUAUUGGCCAGAGACCGAUAGCGCACAAGUAGAGUGAUCGAAAGAUGAAAAGCACUUUGAAAAGAGGGUUAAACAGCACGUGAAAUUGUUGAAAGGGAAGCGUUUGCGACCAGAC
rnacentral:rRNA from 1 species